AAGCGUUGUCCGGAUUUACUGGGCGUAAAGAGCGCSCYWKGCGGCUCGUUAAGUGAGAAGUGAAAGCUGUGGGCUCAACCCACAAACCGCUUUUCAUACUGGCGAGCUGGAGUGAUGCAGAGGUGGAUAGAAUUCCCGGUGUAGCGGUGAAAUGCGUUGAUAUCGGGAGGAAUACCCGUGGCGAAGGCGGUCCACUGGGCAUCAACUGACGCUGAGGCGCGAAAGCGUGGGUAGCAAACAGGAUUAGAUACCCUGGUAGUCCACGCCCUAAACGAUGGAUGCUAGGCGUAGGAGGUAUCGACCCCUCCUGUGCCGCARCUAACGCACUAAGCAUCCCGCCUGGGGACUACGGCCGCAAGGUUG
rnacentral:rRNA from 1 species